CCUUUAUCAUGCUGACCGACCAGAAGGUCUCCAUAGGAAAUGUUGUGAAAAUAUCAGGCUUAGGCUACAUGCUCUGGUAUUUAGACUGAAAACUGAUUUGAAGGGGAUAAGUCCUGCUACUGAUAGCUUAUGUGAAUGGAUCUGAGCAGGUUUAGGCUGGUCAUCUAUGAUAUGUAGGUUAUAUACAGUACAUUCUCUGUCCUGCUACUGGUAGGACUAUAACAUUAUGUUGAUGUGAACAGGUUUAGACUGGUCAUCUAUGAUAUGUAGGUUAUAUACAGUACAUUCUCUGUCCUGCUACUGGUAGGACUAUAACAUUAUGUUGAUCUGAACAGGUUUAGACUGGUCAUCUAUGAUAUGUAG
rnacentral:lncRNA from 1 species